UACGGAGGGAGCGAGCGUUGUUCGGAAUUACUGGGCGUAAAGGGUGCGCAGGCGGCUUUGCAAGUCGGAAGUGAAAUCCCAGGGCUUAACCCUGGAAUUGCUUUCGAAACUGCAAGGCUUGAGUCUCGGAGAGGUUGGCGGAAUUCCCAGUGUAGAGGUGAAAUUCGUAGAUAUUGGGAGGAACACCAGUGGCGUAAGCGGCCAACUAGACGAGUACUGACGCUCAAGCACGAAAGCGUGGGGAUCAAACAGG
rnacentral:rRNA from 1 species